rnacentral:rRNA from 1 species
AUUGAACGCUGGCGGCAUGCUUUGCACAUGCAAGUCGAACGGUAACAGGCCUUCGGGUGCUGACGAGUGGCGAACGGGUGAGUAAUGCAUCGGAACGUACCCAGAGGUGGGGGAUAACGCAGCGAAAGCUGUGCUAAUACCGCAUGUGAUCUGAGGAUGAAAGCGGGGGACCGAGCAGCAAUGUUUGGCCUCGCGCCUUUGGAGCGGCCGAUGUCGGAUUAGCUAGUUGGUGGGGUAAAGGCCUACCAAGGCGACGAUCCGUAGCUGGUCUGAGAGGACGACCAGCCACACUGGGACUGAGACACGGCCCAGACUCCUACGGGAGGCAGCAGUGGGGAAUUUUGGACAAUGGGCGCAAGCCUGAUCCAGCAAUGCCGCGUGCGGGAAGAAGGCCUUCGGGUUGUAAACCGCUUUUGGCAGGAACGAAACGGUGUCCGCUAAUACCGGGCGCUAAUGACGGUACCUGCAGAAUAAGCACCGGCUAACUACGUG